GCGGUCAUACCAGCACUAAUGCACCGGAUCCCAUCAGAACUCCGAAGUUAAGCGAGCUUGGGCGAGAGCAGUACUAGGAUGGGUGACCCCCUGGGAAGUCCUCGUGUUGCACCU
rnacentral:rRNA from 1 species